CGUUUUCGUUCUCUCUCUCUCUCACAGAAUUAGAAAUUAGAAGAGGAAGAGUAUCAAGUAGAUCAAGCUGGCCGGUGCUAAUACAAGUCUUAGCUUGUCUCUUUGGGUUCUCAUUUCUGAACAACCAAGAUGGAAAUGAUCUGUCCUCUAGGCAUGUAGAGUCAUAGAUUGGGGAUCAAAAUGUUCAAACUGGAGUAAGUAGUAAGUUCUUAUUCCAAAGUACAUGUAAAGAUCAACUUUGUGCAUAGUGCAAAAUUCUUUUGAAUUUGACUUUUAAAUCGUUUUGUAAUUUUUCAGUUUUUAUUUAGGAGCUCAUACAGAGUUCAUAUAGGAGCCCCCAAAUAGGAAAGCUCAGCCAACUACUAGGUAAUAGUUAAAAUAAAACAUUCAAGUAUCCUCAUCAAUUUAUCUCAAAGUUUUAGACAUAUAAACUUGGUUAGUACCUGAAAUGAGGAUAUCAAGUUGAUUUAGCAUCUACUUCAAUGAUAAUCUUAUGGAUAUUCAGGCAGACCA